rnacentral:rRNA from 1 species
UCCCUACGGGGCGCAGCAGUGGGGAAUAUUGCACAAUGGGGGAAACCCUGAUGCAGCGACGCCGCGUGAGCGAUGAAGUAUUUCGGUAUGUAAAGCUCUAUCAGCAGGGAAGAAAAUGACGGUACCUGACUAAGAAGCCCUGGCUAACUACGUGCCAGCAGCCGCGGUAAUACGUAGGGGGCAAGCGUUAUCCGGAUUUACUGGGUGUAAAGGGAGCGUAGACGGCGCGUUAAGCCUGGUGUGAAAGCCCGCGGCCCAACCGCGGGACUGCAUUGGGAACUGGCGCGCUGGAGUGCCGGAGGGGG